UGGGGAAUUUUCCGCAAUGGGCGAAAGCCUGACGGAGCAAUACCGCGUGAGGGAGGAAGGCUUUUGGGUUGUAAACCUCUUUUCUUAGGGAAGAAGAAAGUGACGGUACCUAAGGAAUCAGCAUCGGCUAACUCCGUGCCAGCAGCCGCGGUAAUACGGAGGAUGCAAGCGUUAUCCGGAAUUAUUGGGCGUAAAGCGUCCGCAGGUGGCACUUCAAGUCUGCUGUCAAAGACCAGAGCUCAACUCUGGGCAGGCGGUGGAAACUGGGGGGCUAGUGUACGGUAGGGGUAGAGGGAAUUUCCAGUGUAGCGGUGAAAUUCGUAGAUAUUGGGAAGAACACCAGUGGCGAAGGCGGCUCUCUGGUCCGUUACUGACGCUCAUGUGCGAAAGCGUGGGGAGCAAACAGGAUUAGAUACCCCCGUAGUCC
rnacentral:rRNA from 1 species